AUUGAACGCUGGCGGCAGGCCUAACACAUGCAAGUCGAACGAGUGGCGGACGGGUGAGUAAUGUCUGGGAGACUGCCUGAUGGAGGGGGAUAACUACUGGAAACGGUAGCUAAUACCGCAUACCAUCGGAUGUGCCCAGAUGGGAUUAGCUAGUAGGUGGGGUAAAGGCUCACCUAGGCGACGAUCCCUAGCUGGUCUGAGAGGAUGACCAGAAACACUGGAACUUAUAGACGGUCCAGACGCCAGCGGGAGGCGGCGGUGGGGAAUAUUGAACAAUGGGCGCAAGCCUGAUGCAGCCAUGCUGCGUGGAUGAAGAAGGCCUUCCGGUAAUAACGUACUUUCAGCGGGGGGGCGUUACCCGCAGAAGAAGCACCGGCUAACUCCGUGCCAGCAGCCGCGGUAAUUC
rnacentral:rRNA from 1 species